UUAACAUUUUCUACUAGAAUUUAGGAGUAGACUGAGAGGACUAUGUGCUUUGAACUCUCAGAGCACAUUAAUGACACACGAUCCCACUCUGAAUUGGAUGCUCCACAAUGUAGUUUUCUUCACAGAUGCAAAACUGCUAGAGAGUACUUUGAAGGUGGCAGAGUGGAGAGAAGCUUGUCUUUUCUGGAAAGUAUGUAUCUGCACAUUCUGCCUCAUGUUCUGGUUUGAAUUUUAAUUCUUUCUUUUAAAAUAACUAUUUAUUUGUGUAGUUCUGCCCAGGGGAGUUGUAGAAGAACAGAAACAAAAUCCAAAGGCCCUGUCUCACAGGAUUAUAUAAAUAGACUUUAUAUAAGUCUACUCAAAAUUUAAAACCAGUUAAAUUCUUCUCUACUGUCAUUUCUGAAGACACUUCCAGACCUCAUCUCUGUUAGAAACUGAUUUCCAGCACACAGUUACUUGUGCUACCUCGUAUUCCUGUCUGCUGGCCAUAUGUGGGAGUUACAGUGUCUUGUUUCAGUCAGCAUCAGGGAGGUGUCUGAAGUUAGGAUUGCUCUGCUAUUGCAAAUAAUGGAACAGGGACUUACUUUGGACUCUUUUGCAAUAAGAGGACAAAUUUAAGAGUGACAUUUUACCAAGACUAAAAUUGCUCCCAGCACUGAAGCCCAACUGAAAUGUGACUCAGCUUCUGACAGAUUUACACCUGCAACUCAAUGCUGUUUAAUUAGAGGCAUGAGAGUAUGGAACUGCACCUGUGUGUGAAUUACAGAUGCAGAUACAGAUACGUGUUUGCCUUCAGAAGAGGAGGCAAACUGGUGAAAUUACAACGUUUGAGCUCUGAGGCAUAUACAGUGAUGAUAUCUGGAGGAUGUUUGGAUUGCUCUUCCCAGUUCUCAAAGCAAAAUAUUUUACAUUUGUGAGCUUUGUGUGCUUCAAACUGGAUUAAGAUCCUGAAUGGAUACUUGUCCUUUAGAAAAUUUGAACACCACUUACACUUUUUGUGUGUGGAGCAGGAUAUGAAGCAGUGCCUUGUCUCCAGCUGGUGUUAUGUCCCCUUUUGCACGUGUUCAGCCUGCACAAACACAGAAUCCAGAUGAUUUACAGAAGAUCAGGUCAGCUCAUGAAUGCCCUUAUGUGGUCUCAUAGUCCAAAAGUUCUCUUUUUUCAUUAAUAGCUUUGCUGUCUUGUUUUACCUUUUUAAAAAUCCUGGUAUGUUGUUUUCAGCUUAUGUUACAUGCAGAUCCUUCCUGAAGUCUUUUACACAGAGUAUGCUCAAACUGUGAUGUGAGCAGCAAGUGAGAAACAGUUCUUCCAGGGACACUAGAAUGAAAAUGCCUGCAUGGCUUUAAUGGUCACAAAUCAAAUCCUUAUACAAUUAUAAAUUCCUUCAAAGUUUGUCUCAGAAUAGAUAUGAUUACAAAAAUUAAGCAAAUAUAGCUAAUUUGAUUGCAAAUAAUAACUCAGAGUAAAUUAAGAUUUAAAUUUUUUUUUUAAUUUCAGAGGAAAACCCCAGUUUAGCAAUCCACUGAUACUUGAGGUUCCUUUAUAAAAAUUUGGAUUCACUGACCAUCUCUGCCUGUUUCUGACAUAGAAAUGUGGCCUGAUGUGACUGAAGGUUGGCAAUAGGAUAAUUUUGAACAUACUUGGGAGACAAAUGGAUAAUGUAAAAUACUGUGCAGGUUGAAAUGUGUAACUGUUGGUGUUUUUUCUGUCUGCUUUUGAGUCAGUGUCUCUUAGUAAGUGAGUGACAUGGCAAAUGUUCAUUCCAUGGUGGCACUGUCUGUACACUUCUUAGUGCACCCAACAGGAAUUUUUCAUUUCAUGCAUCAUUUAUAACGUGCUGCAACGAUUGAGAAGUCUCUCUCUAUGUGUGUGCAUAUAUAAAUAUAAAUCUUUUUUUUUUUUAAAGAGGAAGAAAAUAUGCCUUGUCAGCCUUCUCUAAGCUGUCAGACUUUUCCUGUCUGUAAAAUUUCAUCGCAUAAAUUGUAUCAAUGCAAGAUUCUACAUGCACUUAUCUCUGGAGGAGAUGAGAAAGAACAAUAAAGUAGUUGAUGAAAUUUGGGCAGUUAAUUAUGAGAUAUAUUAGAACAUUUCAGUAACAUCCCAUCUGUUGCCCAACUUGAUCCAGAAUUAAUUCAGGCCUGAAAAUGGAGAAGCCUUGAGAAAACUGAGAUCAUGAGGACUGACACAGUUAACAAGGGUAUCUCUGUCUCUAGGACUUUUCACAUGGUGUUCCACUG